AACCUACCCUUAGGCGGGGGACAACUCAGGGAAACUUGAGCUAAUACCGCAUAAAUCCACGGGCUGGGAUGCUUGUGGGGAAAGUGGCAACACACCUAAGGAUGGGCCUGCGGCCUAUCAGGUAGUUGGUGGGGUAAGAGCCCACCAAGCCGAAGACGGGUAGCCGGGCUGAGAGGUUGAACGGCCACACUGGAACUGAGACACGGUCCAGACUCCUACGGGAGGCAGCAGUGGGGAAUCUUGCGCAAUGGGGGAAACCCUGACGCAGCGACGCCGCGUGGAGGAUGAAGGUCUUCGGGUUGUAAACUCCUUUUCUUGGGGAAAAUGAUGAUGGUACCUAAGGAAUAAGCCACGGCUAACUCUGUGCCAGCAGCCGCGGUAAGACAGAGGUGGCGAGCGUUGUUCGGAAUUACUGGGCUUAAAGGGCGAGUAGGCGGUGGAGCAAGUCUGAGGUGGAAUCCUAUGGCUUAACCAUAGAACUGCCUUGGAUACUGUUUCACUUGAGUCAGUGAGGGGAGGGCAGAAUUCCCGGUGUAGCGGUGAAAUGCGUAGAUAUCGGGAGGAAGGCCAGUGGCGAAAGGCGGCCCUCUGGCGCUGAAC
rnacentral:rRNA from 1 species